rnacentral:misc_RNA from 1 species
GGUGUUUACCCUAUAAAUUUGAGGUAAAUAUAUAAAACGAGUUGAGCUCGCAAGAGUUCGUUGACUCGAAGUUUUUUGAACAAAGGCUGCGGGGAAUCCGCGGCUGGA